CACAACGUCCACAGAUAAUACUAAUCCUGUGCGAAUUGGACUCUAGUUAGUUCAUUCAGUUCACCUGUGUUCAGUUAAUUAUGUGAUUAAUCUUUCUCUUGCAUUGGAAUAAGUACUCCCUGUUCUGUUCAGUCAUUUGCCAGUUAUUUAUGUUACUUUGGAUAUGCUUUGCUGUGUUUGGUUUUGCUCCUGGAUUCCUUGUGGUUGUUUCCCUGUGAAUUUAUCAUUAAAGACUCUUUAUGGAAUACUCAUUCGUUGUGCUCUUGGAUUUAGCAAGCAACCAUUACAGCAUAACUGGACCUCAAAACGACUCCUCUGCCUCAAGCAGGAAGACCGUUCCCUGGAGGAUAAUACCAGAGACUUUUUGGAAUUGGCAUGCCUAACUGACUAUCCAGUAGGGUUGCAUGAUAAAUCGCACGUGUUUAUCAUGCACAUCUCAUCAGUAAAGCCAGUUCUGUGAUUAGUAGUAAAUCUCCAGCACAUGCUUCCAGAUGGAGCAGCAUUCACUACACAGAGCUGUAGUUCACUGACAAGCUACGCAAUAUUGUGUUCAUUAUCAGCGAUGUACCACAUGCGAUAAUGAAAACUGAUUGAUGUGCAUGGUAAAUGCAUGCAAUUUAUCGUGCAGACCUACUAUCCAAGGCACGCAUCCCAGGGAACGGUCCCCGGGAAGAUUUCACCGCUUUUGUGGAGUGGGUGCUGGACCAUCUCCCCCGCUGAGGAGGACAUCUCUAGCCCCACUUAAGAACCAGAGACCAGCCUGGAUAUGCUUUGCUGUGUUUGGUUUUGCUCCUGGAUUCCUUGUGGUUGUUUCCAUGUGGAUUUAUUAUUAAAGAUUCUUUAUUGAAGACUCCUUCGUUGUAUGCUUGGAUUUAGCAAGCAACCAUUACACUGGUCAACAUAAUCCCAUUUCCCCUGGUCCAUAUAGUGCAAAGAAUGAUGGCCCAAAAGCAUGAUAGUAUUCCAAACCUGGAUUCAAAACUAUUGACACAAAUGUGCUAUAACUGGCUGAGUCUCAACCAAUUAAUCACCCAUACCUGGCC
ensembl:lncRNA